GUUUCAGGGAACCAUGAAAUUAAAGAGUCUAAACAAGAACAUGAAUUGCUGACCCCCAGGAUGAAGCCUGAGGGUACAGAAAAGGAUAAAGAUGAGCCAAUCCUGCAGGCUUCAUUUGAAGAGGACCCCAAAUCUUCCUCCCAGGGCUGCGACCAGGGGAGCAUCCUGGAGCCUCUUGGUGAUCUGACUAAUGAUCGUUAACUAUCCUUUUCUCUGGGUGAAACUUAUCCUCAGGAAGCUGGAUCUGAAGACAAGAAAGCGGAGCUCAUAUUACCCAGGUGAAUAUGAACAUCGUAGGCUGUGAAUCAAUGGUGACUUGUGGAGAUCUGAGGUCCCUGAA